CCAAUAGCGUAUAUUAAAGUUGUUGCAGUUAAAAAGCUCGUAGUUGAACUUCGGGAUCAAUGGAUCGGUCAUGCCAUCGGUAUGUACUGGUCUCAUUGGUUCUCACCUUCUAAGGAACCUUAAUGUCAUUCAUUUGAUGUUUUGGGGAAUUAGGACUGUUACCUUGAAAAAAUUAGAGUGUUUAAAGCAGGCUAACGCUUGAAUACAUUAGCAUGGAAUAAUGAAAUAGGACAUCGCAUUCUAUUUUGUUGGUUUCUAGGAUCGAUGUAAUGAUUAAUAGGGAUAGUUGGGGGCAUUAGUAUUCAAUUGUCAGAGGUGAAAUUCUUGGAUUUAUUGAAGACUAACUACUGCGAAAGCAUUUGCCAAGGAUGUUUUCAUUAAUCAAGAACGAAAGUUAGGGGAUCGAAGACGAUCAGAUACCGUCGUAGUCUUACCCAUAAACUAUGCCGACUAGGGAUCGGAUGAUGUUGAUUUUUUAAUGACUCAUUCGGCACCUUACG
rnacentral:rRNA from 1 species